UACGUAGGGUGCGAGCGUUAAUCGGAAUUACUGGGCGUAAAGCGUGCGCAGGCGGUCUGUUAAGACCGAUGUGAAAUCCCCGGGCUUAACCUGGGAACUGCAUUGGUGACUGGCAGGCUUUGAGUGUGGCAGAGGGAGGUAGAAUUCCACGUGUAGCAGUGAAAUGCGUAGAUAUUCGGAGGAACACCAGUGGCGAAGGCGACUGCCUGGACGAACAUUGACGCUGAGGUGCGAAAGCGUGGGGAGCAAACAGG
rnacentral:rRNA from 1 species